ensembl:lncRNA
AGCCAACUCAUUGUGAAAGACCCUAAUGCUGGGAAAGAUUGAAGGCAAAAGGAGAAGGGAGCAGCAGAGGAUGAGAUGGUUAGGUAGCAUCAUUGACUUAAUGGACAUGGGUUUCAGCAAACUCUGGAAGAUAACGGAAGACAGAGCAGCCUGAUUUGCUGCAAUCCAUGGGGUCACAGAGUCAGACAUGAGUUAGCAACUGAACAACAGCAACAAUAAAACCACCACCUCUUUGAUGACUUGUGGAAGUACUUUACAACAUUCUGCCUGAGUGAGUUUCCUCAGACUUAAACCAAGAAUUUGAAAUUACUGUGAUGAUACAGUUGAUUUCAGAAGUGUAAAUAAUUGAUCAAGUUCUUGAAGUACUGUGCCAAAGUUGUAGGAGGCUGAGGAAUCUGGAUGCCCAUCAAUUUUUAAUAAGAUCAAAUACUGGAAAGCAGGGAAUUGGAUAGACCAGAUAAUCAAAAAGUUACCACUCCAAGAUAAAAACUGUUGACAAGAAAGAUUGAGGGCAAGAGGAGAAAGGGGUGACAGAGGAUGAUUGUUGGAUGGCAUCAGAGACUCAACUAUCACUUUUUGGAAAAGAACCAGUCACCCGUAGUAACUGCAUGCCUUCAGAAGCUGGCCAUCAGCUGUUUUCCCAAUACUCUGAGGUACUGCUUCAUUGCAGGAAAAGAUACAAGGAUGAUAACAACCUAUGGCUCAAUGUGGGGCAGGUGCCAGGCUGCGAUGAAAGCAAUGGAUUCCAAGGCACCAGGAGCCUCAUCCUAAGAGGCCAACUUCUUGAGAGCCAUGUUGGAGGCAUUUGAGGAUGGCAGUGUGGUCAGGGUGUUGAGAACUGCUAGAAGAGUCCAGAUGCAGAGCUGUGAAACUGGUAGGUAACCACAGUUCUUUAACUCCUGGUCAGGUACCCAGAUGGAUUUCUGAGUGAUUCCCUCUAUUCUACCAGCUCUCAUGCAUCUUCUCCACCUUAGUAUGAUUCACAUCUUCCAAAGAGGAAAGCCAUGAUCAGACUUCCAGCUAGUGAAUAUAGUGAAGUCGCUCAGUUGUGUCUGACUCUUUGCGACCAGAUGAGUCUUGUCUUUGCAACAAGACCUAUGGGCUGAAAGGAGGAUCAAGGAGAGCAAAAAAUUCAUAUUUAUAGAGGUCAGACUCAGUUGUUGGGCCAAUGUUCCAAACUGAGUGCAAAACCCAUUAAAGGAAGGGGCAAAAAAGGGAUUCAAUCCCUGCUAAUAGCCUUCCUUGAGAAUGACUUAGUGAGUCCCUGUCAAUCUCCUGAAAAUACCCCAAAUUUAUUCUUCUAGCAGUCAAGCACAGAUGAAUACAAGUUUGUACUGGACUUGAGAGCAAUUACAAGAAGAUAUUCAUCCAGUGGUUUUAGUCCAUAUACUCUUAACCAU